GUGCUUGCUUGGCAGUACAUAAAACUAAAUUGGAAUGAUACAGAGAUUAGCAUGGCCCUGGUGCAAGGAUGACACACAAAUACAUGAAAGUUUCCAUUAAAAA
ensembl:snRNA U6 U6 spliceosomal RNA